UGGGGGGAAGGAGGACAUUUUAUUUGCUGAAGCAGAGACACGGCUGGCACCCACGUUGGGGUUGUUUAGGGUGAAGAAGAGGGGCCUUGACACAGGGGAGCUGACCCUCCACGGGCCACCCUGUGAGAGUGUUAUAAGGGUCACCGCUGAAACGUGUACUUGGCAAGCGACCGUCCGCGCCAUUUUAGAGACACACAGAGGAGCGAGGGUUUCCGCUGCUGCUGCUGCCAGAGACAACAGGCAGCAGCCGAGCCUGAGCUGCGCAGGAGGAGCAGCAGGAGAAGAGAGAGAGAGAUACAGCCUGCCUGGCACAAAUGUGCAUUUCAGAACUCAGCACCGAAACAAAGCACUGAAGCAACUGCUAUGCAGAUGGGCGGCUAUGAAUUUUUGCUGCUGCUUAGAGCUUUAAUUACUCGCUCUUGAUCCGUGGGACUACGACACUACACCGCCAAGGUUAAAAUGCCCUGAACAGCUCUGAGCAGAUGUGAGCGAGUUGGCAGACGCGCAAAUGAGGUCUGCCUCUAAGCACGAUAACAAGUGACUAAUACAUUGCAUAUCUCUGAAAGAAAAUUAUUUUUCUCUAAUUUGCAUUAGCUUUUUUUAAAGCCAGCGACAGUCCCUCCGCAGAGGCAGUACUAUAAUCCUGGAAAUACUGCUCCGUGACUUUAAAAGAUUUGGAAGAAGGAAGAGAGUGCCAGUAUUUUGGCGACGUAGACUUGUUUAUCUUUCCGCCUUAGCUUCAAGGCGAAACUAGUUUCGCAAGCAACGUUCCUACAGAAAUGGCAUACGUCAUAUAAAAGAUUAAUUUAUAGCAUUG